rnacentral:rRNA from 1 species
AGAGUUUGAUCCCUGGCUCAGGACGAACGCUGGCGGGCGCGCCUAACACAUGCAAGUCGAACGGGGUGCAUCUGAAUGAAGUUUUCGGAUGGAAUUUGGAUGUACCUAGUGGCGAACGGGUGAGUAACACGUGAAUAACCUGCCCUGGAGUGGGGGACAACAGUUGGAAACGACUGCUAAUACCGCAUAAGCCCACAGAGCCGCAUGGCUCAGGGGGAAAAGGAGCAAUUCGCUUCAGGAUGGAUUCGCGUCCAAUUAGCUGGAUGGUGAGGUAACGGCCCACCAUGGCGACGAUUGGUAGCCGGACUGAGAGGUUGAUCGGCCACAUUGGGACUGGGACACGGCCCAGACUCCUACGGGAGGCAGCAGUGGGGAAUAUUGCACAAUGGGGGAAACCCUGAUGCAGCGACGCCGCGUGGAGGAAGAAGGUCUUCGGAUUGUAAACUCCUGUCGUUGGGGACGAUAAUGACGGUACCCAACAAGAAAGCCACGGCUAACUACGUGCCAGCAGCCGCGGUAAAACGUAGGUGGCAAGCGUUGUCCGGAAUUACUGGGUGUAAAGGGAGCGCAGGCGGAAGGACAAGUUGGAAGUGAAACCCACGGGCUCAACCCGUGAACUGCUUUCAAAACUGUUUUUCUUGAGUGGUGUAGAGGUAGGCGGAAUUCCCGGUGUAGCGGUGGAAUGCGUAGAUAUCUGGAAGAACACCAAUGGCGAAGGCAGGUUUCCAGCACAUAACUGACGCUCAGGUGCGAAGGUGCGGGGAUCAAACAGGAUUAGAUACCCUGGUAGUCCGCACAGUAAACGAUGUGCACUAGGUGUCUGGGCAUAAGCCCGGGUGCCAAAGCAAACGCGAUAAGUGCACCGCCUGGGGAGUAUGCCCGCAAGGGUGAAACUCAAAGGAAUUGACGGGGGCCCGCACAUGCGGUGGAGCAUGUGGUUUAAUUCGAUGGUACGCGAGGAACCUUACCUGGGUUUGACAUACAUACCGAUUAUUUAGAGAUAAGUAAGCGUAGCAAUACGGGUAUGAACAGGUGCUGCAUGGCUGUCGUCAGCUCGUGCCGUGAGGUGUUGGGUUAAGUCCCGCAACGAGCGCAACCCCUACUGCCAGUUACUAACAGGUGAAGCUGAGGACUCUGGCGGAACUGCCGGCGACAAGCCGGAGGAAGGCGGGGAUGACGUCAAGUCAUCAUGGCCCUUAUGUCCAGGGCUACACACGUGCUACAAUGGUCGGUACAGAGUGAUGCGAGGCAGUGAUGCGGAGCAAAACGCAGAAAACCGAUCGUAGUCCGGAUUGGAGUCUGAAACCCGACUCCAUGAAGUUGGAAUCGCUAGUAAUCGCACGUCAGCACGGUGCGGUGAAUACGUUCCCGGGC